CCUUGCCCUUUCAUUUUGCUAUGCCCAUGUCCCGGAAUUGGAGGCUGUGAACCACAAGCUUCCAAGGUGCCGCAAACUUCGUUGCCCUGUGCUUUUCCUCGACCUGGCGGUCUGAACUUUUGAAUCCGCGCCGCAUCGCUGCCGACCACAUCGCCGCAAAGAUUCUGCGCAAGCGCUGCUGUUAUCACCUGCACGCCACGACCACAGCUGGGGCGGUGCCCUUCACUUUGGCAGCAGCGGCGGAGCGCAUCGCACGCAGCCCGCUGAAUCCUUGUUUCGCUACUGUCACAGGCUAUGCCCCUGUCCCGGAAUUGGAGGCUGUGAACCACAAGCUUCCAAGGUGCCGCAAACUUCGUUGCCCUGUGCUUUUCCUCGACCUGGCGGUCUGAACUUAUGAAUCCGCGCCGCAUCGCUGCCGACCACAUCGCCGCAAAGAUUCUGCGCAAGCGCUGCUGUUAUCACCUGCACGCCACGACCACAGCUGGGGUGGUGCCCUUC
rnacentral:lncRNA from 1 species